GGUGAGCAGAUAUAUAAGACAAACCGUCCUGGGUCUAAACAUCAUUUCUGACACAGACGCAGUUUCAGAAGCAAGAAUGUCUCGUUAUCGUGUGGCUGUGUUGGCGCUCGUCGUUGUCAUGCUGCUUUCUGUUGCAGAGAGUCAGACACGCAGACCCCGUUUCACCUGCUCCAGGAUAAAUGGAACCUGUCAGGAAACUUGCCUCCCAACAGAAGUCUCUGUUGGAACUCAUCUCUGUUAUGGAGAGGCUUUCCGUAAUUGUUGCAGACCCAAACCAUAAUCCAGCCAAGCUACAAGACUUGCCGAGUAUCACAGAUGAUGGGACAGACAGAAGACAUCGUUGUGGAGGAUUUGCUUUGGCUGACUUGUUGCUGAUUUGAAUCUUGCUCAAAUGGCUGAAUAAAAUAUUACAUUGAACAUC